rnacentral:snoRNA from 1 species
GCUUCCCCUAGAAGCAUUGCAGGUGUGGCUGCUGUGUCACAUGAAUGUCAGUACAUGGAAGAGUGGCUGUGUCUACACUCAGUGAUCUUACCUAUGAACACCUGAAUGGCUAGAAGCCUAAUAUU